GCUAAUCAUGACAUUACAAAUUCACUACAUUAUAGUAUAAUACAGUUAAGACUCAUUGUCAUAACAAUAAUUUUUUCAGACAAAGUUCUUCUUAUUAGUCACCUACUUUAAGAAUAUAUGUAACCCCUUAAACCGAGCCUAGAUGUUACGAGCCAAUCCAAGCGAUUAUAUGGGCCAUAGAAAUGGAAAAAAAUGGAUCUAAUCUUUAAAAACCUGCUUUAAUAUUCCCUUUUUAUACGUUGUAGUAAAAACAUUACUUCGAAGGAAGCCUUAAUUAUUAUUAUAAAAAGUUAUUUUGAUCAUAAAAAAUCAUUUGAUUAAUUGAGUUUGCAGAAAGCGAAUUUUAUUAAGAAAGUCAUUAAAAUGUUUAAUCCAUAUAAAAAAAUCCCAUGUAAAAACAUUUAAUGUUCAUAGUUUUAAAAACAAAAUAUCUCAUGCCACAGUUUAAUAAUUUUCCAAAAAAUAAAAUCUAAAAUAUAAUAAAAAAGCCCAUAAAAGUCCCAAAUCGUCUUUAAAAAUCCAUAACCAAGAAACCAUUAUUCCGAGAGCUUCUCCGAUGAUCGAUUCUGAGUCCUAGUUAGGAGGAUUACCUGAGACACACGAGUAAUAUGGGUGAGCUAUAAAAGGCUCAGUGUGAGAUCGAUACAAAAUAUAUACACAAACAAUAUGACAUACAUUUCAACACAUCGAAUAACACAUCCAAAACAAUGUAGAUACAAUUUUCAUAGAAAUCAAUAUUACAUAUAAAAAAACAUAUCGAGACAUGCUUUUGUAAAAUGCACAUUUUGAUGAAUUUCCUAACCAUCUCCGCUACACACCAAUAUCGAGUUCCCCAAAACUCGUCCAUCCAAUAACACACAAUUUGUGGACAAAGCUACCACAUAAAUGUUGAAAACAGUCACAUAGCACAUUGUGAACAAGCCAUCACAUAAAUUCCGAAAACAACCACAUAGCACAAUGUUGACAAGCCACCACAUAAUUAUCGAUAAACGACCACAUAAUUGCAGAUAAGCUGCUACAUAUGUUCCUCCUUUCAAAAAUCCCACCCCAUGCAUAUGAUAUGGUCAUUUUCUCAUUUUAAUCAAUUCACGUUAACAUGUUGUAAACAUUUUUACACAUAGGAUCAAAUAUCACAUGGUCAUAUUCAUAUUGUCAUAUUCACAUAACAAAAUUAUAACGAUAACACACAAGCCAUACAUCCUAUGUCAUCAGAAUGAGAUCUACACAUAUAUCAAUAUCACAUAGAUACAAUUUGCACAAACAUCACAAUCACAUAAUAUCAUCACAUCACACAGUAUACUUUUCAAGAACAACGGAUAGGGUCACUUAGGUUUCUCAUCGAUGGGGUUUUCAACCCUCUUUAUAAGUACUUAGCGUACCCACGUAUAAAAAAUUAUUAACAUACUAAUAUAAUAAAAAUAAACACUCAUUACACAACAUAAGUUAAAGAUCCCACACCUUAUUGCAGAUUUAAAUCGUACGCUCCCUUUGUAAAGGUCUCGCUCGGAUCUAGUCCCAAUCAAAAAUCUAAUCACACGAAUAUUUUUUAGUCACGAUCCAAUGAAAAGCAAGUCCUUUAAUAUAAGAUCUAAUGCAGGAAAUCUCACCAAUACUUUCCCUUAAUUUGAGCGCUCGGAUCCGUUACUCUCACGAUGCCACACAAUUAGUUUCUCGAAGGGAUGUUAUUCGGUCCUUCAUAACACAUGGAGAUUGAAAGUUAAUCUCAAGAAAACAAUUAUAGUUGAGUCAUUAUUAGAGAAAGAGGAAAAAAAAAGAAAGAUGAUGAUUCCAUCACUUUGCAUAACUUACAGUACUAAAUAGCACAACAAAGUCGGAGAUAAAUCUUGAAGAAAAGUUUAGAGGUUUAACAAUCUAUAAGGGAUCAUGUGAUCGGUGAGAUACAUACACAAGUGAAGUGAAAAAAAAUUAAAGAAUAAGUUAAAUGGAAGAAAAAGGUGAAAUAAAUUGGAAAGGAGAGGAAAAUAGGAGAAAACCCUAAAUCCCGAUGACAAUCGACGUCGGUGAUGGUAACAAUGGCAAUGGUAGUGGUCUGGUGGCGGUUCACGGUGGUGACGAAUGGUGGUGAUCGGAGGAGAAGAAGGAAAGAAGAUGGGUGUGGACGGUAGUGAGGUGGUGGUGCAACUAAGGCUCACGAUGGAAGAAUGGAAGCAAAGAUGAAGAGAAAUGGCGGUGGUUGCCAAAAAGAAAGAAAAUAGUAGAGGAAAAGAGAAGAAAAGAGAAAAUGGGAGGAAAUGAGGGUGGUGGACGAUUUGGGACACUUUUGGAGUGGUCAAGACCUUUGUUUUGGCAAGAAAAUAAUGUAAGGAAAGAG
rnacentral:lncRNA from 1 species